GUGGGGAAUAUUGCACAAUGGGGGAAACCCUGAUGCAGCGACGCCGCGUGAGUGAAGAAGUAUUUCGGUAUGUAAAGCUCUAUCAGCAGGGAAGAUAAUGACAGUACCUGACUAAGAAGCCCCGGCUAACUACGUGCCAGCAGCCGCGGUAAUACGUAGGGGGCAAGCGUUAUCCGGAUUUACUGGGUGUAAAGGGAGCGUAGACGGAAUGGCAAGUCUGAAGUGAAAUACCCGGGCUCAACCUGGGAACUGCUUUGGAAACUGUUGUUCUAGAGUGUUGGAGAGGUAAGUGGAAUUCCUGGUGUAGCGGUGAAAUGCGUAGAUAUCAGGAAGAACACCGGAGGCGAAGGCGGCUUACUGGACAAUAACUGACGUUGAGGCUCGAAAGCGUGGGGAUCAAACAGGAUUAGAAACCCUGGUAGUCC
rnacentral:rRNA from 1 species